ACUCGCAGCCUGUGUUCUCGAUGAGCAUGUGCUGCGGUGGCCGGAACCUUGCCUGGCACCAGCGGGGAUGUGCAAAGGCCCUGGGGGAAAAGGCAGAGACGCUGGCGAUCGGGCUCUAUGUCAGAUGGCUCUGAGGCCCUCAUGACCGCCAGGGCAAUGCCAUAUGUGCUGACCAAGGACUAGGCAGCUCCAUCCCAGAAGGCACAGGAGGGCCCCCUGUAUUUCAGGAGCUCUCCUGGCUUCUGCAGAGGUUUCUGAGGGGCAUCAGCAAGACAGCUGUACUCUGGGGACUGGGAAAGAUUUGGACUCAGAACUCAGAACAAUGCUGCUGGGGCCUCUGCCCUCAGCUCUGACUGCCAAAGAUCCAGUGGGAAGGGAAGGGGGAGAGAGGAUGAGGCCAAGUCAUCAGAAGGAACAAGGAAGCUCUGUACACGCUUACGAGGACUAAUCUCCAAGACAGAGCAGCAAGUUAAAAAAUCCCAAGGCACAACAUCUGUGCACCUAGACAGUAUUUGUUUAAAAUGGAAGCAUAUAUGGAUCAAAUGUUUAUGCAUAGAGAAAACCUGGAAGGGGCAUUGGAGACCAGCAGUGAAGCCUUCAGUACUUACCUGUCUGAAAGA
rnacentral:lncRNA from 1 species